rnacentral:rRNA from 1 species
UAGGGAAUCUUCGGCAAUGGACGAAAGUCUGACCGAGCAACGCCGCGUGAGUGAAGAAGGUUUUCGGAUCGUAAAACUCUGUUGUUAGAGAAGAACAAGGACGUUAGUAACUGAACGUCCCCUGACGGUAUCUAACCAGAAAGCCACGGCUAACUACGUGCCAGCAGCCGCGGUAAUACGUAGGUGGCAAGCGUUGUCCGGAUUUAUUGGGCGUAAAGCGAGCGCAGGCGGUUUCUUAAGUCUGAUGUGAAAGCCCCCGGCUCAACCGGGGAGGGUCAUUGGAAACUGGGAGACUUGAGUGCAGAAGAGGAGAGUGGAAUUCCAGGUGUAGCGGUGAAAUGCGUAGAGAUCUGGAGGAAUACCGGUGGCGAAGGCGGCCCCCUGGACAAAGACUGACGCUCAGGUGCGAAAGCGUGGGGAGCAAACAGG